GCAACCCACUCCAGUACUCUUGCCUGGGAAAUCCCAUGGACAGAGGAGCCUGGAGGCUACAGUCCGUGGGGUCUCAAGAGUCGGACCACGGCUGAGAGACAGCACACCUGAGCAGCGUGGCAUUGCUGGGUGGCAGCAGGACUCACCAGGCUUCCGCAACAGGAGGCCACUCGUGUGUACCCGCUGUGUUCUAUGCGAAAUCCAGAAGACUUGUCACUAGAAGCUUGUCCCACUGUUUUGCAUCUAGCAACAAAACUGCUGCCAUCAGAACACUGUCGCCUGGUGCUGGGUGAGCAGAAGGUAGUCAUGGCUCAAAAAUAAGGAGAGAGAGAAGAAAGAACUGACCGCAGUAGGAGAGGCAUCCUGUCUAGUCCUGCUCUUGGUUUCCUGUGUGUACAUCGCCUCUUCCCAGUCAGAACAGGACACACUGUUGCUUUCAUUUGCUUCCCAGAGCUCGGCGCACAGAAGUCAUCAUGGCAUGUGGCUGUUUGCCUCGGCUAGUAAGAAAACCAGAAAAAGAAAGAAAGAAAAAGCCUCUAAACAUUUACUGAGCCUGAGAUCUGCAACAAGAGAAGCCACCGCAAUGGGAAGCUCGUGUACCACAAACUAGAGAAAUAGCUCGUGUACCACAAACUAGAGAAAUAGCUCCCUGCUUGCUGCAACAAGAGAAAGCCCCAGCAGCAAUGAAGACUCAGCACAACAAAAAUAAAUAAAUAAAAUAAUUUUUUUUUUUAAAAAGAGGUUAGCAAGUAACAGAACUUGAAUUUGAAAUCUGUCUAGCUUUGAAACCUGUGCUGUUGAAAUUUUAAACACUAACAAGUGUUGGUGAGGCUGUGGAAGAACUGGAAUCCCCAUACACUGCUGUUGGGCAUGCAAAAUCAUACAAUCACCUUGGAAAACAGUUUGGAAGUUUCUCCUAAGUUUAAAAUGUACCCUUACCAUAUGACCCAGCAACAUAUUCCUGUGUUUUCCCCAAAGAAAAGAAAUAUACAUCUAUAUAAAAAGUUGAACAAAAAUGUUGAUAGCAGUUUUUCUCAUAAAAGUCCAACACUGGAAGCUCAAACUAAUGACAGGAAAAUGGAAUGAACAAAUUGGUAUACCCAUACAAUUGAAUACUACUCAGCAGUGAAAACUACCAAGCCUCACAACAUGAAUGGAUCUCAAAAAGAAGCCAAAUAUGUAGGAAAUACUCUGUGGAACUUCCCUGGUGGCUCAGAUGGUAAAGCAUCUGCCUGCAAUGCAAGAGACUGGAGUUCAGUCCCUGGGUCAGGAAGAUCCCCUGGAGAAGGAAAUGGCAACCCACUCCAGUAUUCUUGCCUGGAGAAUCCCCUGGACUGUGGACCCUGGUGGGCUACAGCCCACUGGGUCACAAAGAGUUGGACACAACUGAACAACUAACACUUUCAUAUACUCUGUGUGAAAUUCUGUUUAUAUGAAAUUCUAGAAAAGGUAAAAUAGAUCUAUAAUGACUGGAAACAGACAUGUGGACUCCCUCGGCUGGGGCAGUGAGUGCAAGAGGGCUUGAGAGAGGUAAUUUUGGGUAGUGGGACUGCUUUAUAUCUUGAUUGUGGUGGGGAUGCAUUUGUCAAAACUCAUUAGAUACACUGAAAAUGGGUGCAUUGUAUCAUUUAUGUUACACCUCAGUAAAGUAGAUUUUUUAAAAAAAGCAACAA